AGGGUCAGGGGAACAGUUGGAGGCUCCCACCAGUGAAUGAAGGAAAUAGUUGGUAUAUUUGGGUAUAGAAGAGAGAAAUUUAAGUCAUAGUCUGAAAAAUUUAGGGAUAACAAUACAUAUAGGUAUGCUGUUGGAGCAGUUUUUAACUGAUUUUAGGUAUCUUGGUAAUUUUUGGGUAUAGCAAUUCAUUUUAGGUAGCUGUUGAAGAUGCUCUUACUAAGCCAUCAAUGCUGCUGCUGCUCGUGCUUAAUCUACUCAUCAAGUGCCAUAGCUGCUCGUGCUUACUCUACUCAUCGAAAUCUGAAGAAAAUGCUAUGUCCCGUUCUUUCAGAAAUAAAUC
rnacentral:lncRNA from 1 species